rnacentral:sRNA from 1 species
AAGAUGGUAACACAUUUUCGAGAAGCCAUUAAGUUAGGGAACUCCCGCUAUUAACAAAAGCUAUACAAAAUAAUGAGCAAAGAUUUUAAACAAAAGUACAGACAGGAGUGGGAGUCUCAACCCGAUACAAAGACAUGGCUCUGCAGAAGUAAAAAUGCAGUGGACGUUGAUAUGUUGAUAUUUUGAGUCGAAUAGCAUCAAUAAGACAGCACGCUGCCACACACAAACAUAAGGAGAAAAAUAAGUUCUUGUGUGGCCAAUCUAAGAUUGAUUCGUUCGUGGAUGAUACAAGCAAAAGUGUUGCGACUAGAGUGAGGAGAGCUGAAUCGCUGUUUGUUGCUGCUGCAGCAGAGAACAACAUACCGUUCCGGGCAAUGGAUCAUCUUAGCAAUGUCAUCAAAAACGCAUUUCCUGACAGUGACAUUGCGCAAGGCUUUGCUUGCAAACGGACCAAGUCGGCAUCUUUGGCUUACAAUGUGAUGGCACCUGCUGCAAAGGAAAAACUGAGGAGUGAGGUUAAAAAGAGCGUGUGCCCAGCUGGAAAAACCAUGUUUUCGAUCAUCAUCGACGAGUCUACGGAUGUGACAUGUACUAAUUUACUAGCGUGCGCAGUAGUUAUUCGACACCAAGUACUUAUUUUCGAUUGAUUUGGAUGGCGAGAAAGCAGAGGACUUAUUCCAAGCUUUGGAUAAGGGACUUCAGGAAUUUGUGUUCAGCAUGGAGAACAUCAUAGAAUUUACAGCUGACACCACUAAUGUCAUGUUUGUGUUUGCCAUAUAAUAAUGGCUAUAAUAAUGAUACAAUUCAGGUUCUGCAGUCUAGAAGAUAUAGUC